CCUACGGGUGGCAGCAGUGAGGAAUAUUGGUCAAUGGACGAGAGUCUGAACCAGCCAAGUAGCGUGAAGGAUGACUGCCCUAUGGGUUGUAAACUUCUUUUAUAUGGGAAUAAAAUGUUCCACGUGUGGGAUUUUGUAUGUACCAUAUGAAUAAGGAUCGGCUAACUCCGUGCCAGCAGCCGCGGUAAUACGGAGGAUCCGAGCGUUAUCCGGAUUUAUUGGGUUUAAAGGGAGCGUAGGUGGAUUGUUAAGUCAGUUGUGAAAGUUUGUGGCUCAACCGUAAAAGUGCAGUUGAAACUGGCAGUCUUGAGUACAGUAGAGGUGGGCGGAAUUCGUGGUGUAGCGGUGAAAUGCUUAGAUAUCACGAAGAACUCCGAUUGCGAAGGCAGUUCACUGGACUGCAACUGACACUGAGGCUCGAAAGUGUGGGUAUCAAACAGGAUUAGAUACCCUAGUAGUC
rnacentral:rRNA from 1 species